rnacentral:rRNA from 1 species
GUUUGAACCUGGCUCAGGAUGAACGCCGGCGGUGUGCCUAAUACAUGCAAGUCGUACGCACUGGCCCAACUGAUUGAUGGUGCUUGCACCUGAUUGACGAUGGAUCACCAGUGAGUGGCGGACGGGUGAGUAACACGUAGGUAACCUGCCCCGGAGCGGGGGAUAACAUUUGGAAACAGAUGCUAAUACCGCAUAACAACAAAAGCCACAUGGCUUUUGUUUGAAAGAUGGCUUUGGCUAUCACUCUGGGAUGGACCUGCGGUGCAUUAGCUAGUUGGUAAGGUAACGGCUUACCAAGGCGAUGAUGCAUAGCCGAGUUGAGAGACUGAUCGGCCACAAUGGAACUGAGACACGGUCCAUACUCCUACGGGAGGCAGCAGUAGGGAAUCUUCCACAAUGGGCGCAAGCCUGAUGGAGCAACACCGCGUGAGUGAAGAAGGGUUUCGGCUCGUAAAGCUCUGUUGUUGGAGAAGAACGUGCGUGAGAGUAACUGUUUACGCAGUGACGGUAUCCAACCAGAAAGUCACGGCUAACUACGUGCCAGCAGCCGCGGUAGUACGUAGGUGGCAAGCGUUAUCCGGAUUUAUUGGGCGUAAAGCGAGCGCAGGCGGUUGCUUAGGUCUGAUGUGAAAGCCUUCGGCUUAACCGAAGAAGUGCAUCGGAAACCGGGCGACUUGAGUGCAGAAGAGGACAGUGGAACUCCAUGUGUAGCGGUGGAAUGCGUAGAUAUAUGGAAGA